CAGACAACAUCUGCGCAGCUUGAAAAAAAUAUUUUUAGCAUUUCUUCCUUGCUGGGACUGGACAAUCACUUCCAAUGUUGAGGAUUGUAUAAUCGCAUUAUGUGGAUAAUGUCUAUAAAUAUAGGCUGUUUUUUACGAGAGCUUCAGUGAGCAGUAGAUUCUUCAACAGGCAACAUCUGCGCAGCUUGAAAAAAAUUUUUUAACAUUUAUUCCUUGCUGGGACUGGGCAACCACUUUUAAUGUUGAAGAAUGGAUAAGCCCAUUAUGAUAUCAAGUGGAUUAAUUAUGUAUUGUAGGAUCAUAAAUGGAAGAAAGAAGUAAUUUGUGGUUAGUAUUGAAUUUUUUAUAUUAUUUAAACAAAUUGAAGUUUUUUUUUCUAUAUAUUAAUGAGGGAAUUAGUACAGACAACUGAUAUCCCGAGCACAGUCUAGCCAUCUUAUUAGGAGAAAAAAUUGAUUAGAUUAUUCUUAAAAUUUUUGGACGAUAAAGUAAAAGAGUGAAUAUAACAAUGACUUAUGUUGAAUAAUUCGAUCGAGGGGGAAUAUUGAUAGACAAUAAAAGAUAUUUAUAUUAUAAAUAGAAAUAUGUGGUAUAAAUAAGUUUCGUGCUCUGGGACAGUUGGUAGCCUUGCUAAUGUCGUCCGACGAUAUUAUUAAUCGAUUGUUGGUCGAUAAUUGUCGUACGGUGUGAUUUGGCGUUACUGCAUAACAAAGAUGGCGGAAAUGCUGCUCUGUGCCGGUUUAAUUGUGUCAUUUUAUACGUUUUUAUCUUGAGUUUUUUUUGGAUAUACAUGUGACUUGAUUUCUUCUACUGUUAUUGACUAAUAAAUCAACUACUUAUACCCAGCAAAUUAGUAAAAAUCAAUAAAAAAAAAAAUGAUGUGAAAAUUUGAUACGUAUCAGACGCGUGAUGAACUUUCAGUCGUAUAUAUAACUUGCGGCGGAAGAGAUGUAAAGUUGGCUAUAUAAGUUGGGCAAGGUCCUGUUCGUGGCCAUGAUGGAGACGUCCUUGUCUAUAGAAGUUUACUAUCUGCAAAAAUAGAUAUAAAGAGGUUGACGCACUCAUGGACUACAUAUUGCGAAAUCUUGAUUCUACGUGAGGGAUCAAAAUCGUAAUCACGUUCUUGUUGGAUCUUCACCGACGAAUGAUAAUCGCAUAGAAAAUUCCUUGGUGCAUUCUCUCAUGUUAGAGCCCCGCGAGAUACAGAGAUCUCAUAACUUCGGAUCAAGGAAGCCUAAGGCGGUAUAUGAGUAUUCCAGGCAAGUAUGAUGAACCACCAUAUGAAAAAUAAAUAUACA